CCCCCCCCCCAAAGCCCCUCCCGGCCCCCCCAGAGCACCAGCAGCCAUUUCAUCUCCACCACCAAGUAGGCGCAAAAAAUGGCAGAAAUGGAGAAAGAAGGGAGACCUCCCGAAAAUAAAAGGAGCAGGAAGCCGGCGCACCCGGUCAAGCGGGAGAUCAACGAGGAGAUGAAGAACUUCGCAGAAAACACUAUGAAUGAGCUCCUUGGCUGGUAUGGUUAUGAUAAGGUUGAACUGAAAGAUGGAGAAGAUAUUGAAUUCAGGAACUACUCUGCAGAUGGGGAAAGCCGCCAGCACAUUUCUGUUCUCAAAGAAAAUUCUUUGCCAAAACCGAAAUUACCCGAGGACAGUGUUAUUUCACCGUACAAUAUAAACACAAGCUAUCCAGGGCUUGCCACAGGAAAUGGACUUUCAGACUCACCAGCAGGGUCAAAGGAUCACGGGAAUGUACCUAUUAUUGUCCCAUUAAUUCCGCCACCUUUCAUAAAGCCACCAGCAGAAGAUGAUGUGUCAAAUGUACAAAUAAUGUGUGCCUGGUGCCAGAAAGUUGGAAUCAAGCGCUAUUCCCUGAGUAUGGGAAGUGAAGUGAAAUGCUUCUGCAGCGAGAAGUGCUUUGCAGCUUGCCGAAGAGCAUAUUUCAAGAGAAACAAGGCUAGAGAUGAAGAUGGACAUGCUGAAAAUUUUCCCCAGCAGCACUAUGCUAAGGAAACUCCAAGACUUGCCUUCAAGAAUAACUGCGAACUACUUGUAUGUGACUGGUGUAAGCACAUAAGACACACAAAAGAGUAUCUGGAUUUUGGGGACGGGGAAAGAAGGCUUCAGUUCUGCAGUGCAAAAUGUCUCAAUCAGUACAAAAUGGACAUUUUCUACAAAGAGACACAGGCCAAUCUUCCAGCUGGACUGUGCAGUACAUUACAUCCUCCAGUCGAAAAUAAAGCAGAAGGCACUGGGGUACAGCUGCUGACUCCAGAUUCUUGGAAUAUACCGCUAGCAGAUGCUCGGAGAAAAGCCCCAUCCCCAGCGUCUGCAGCUGGCCAAAUUCAAGGUCCUGGACCAUCAGUGUCUACCACUGCCUCUCCGUCUGACACUGCCAACUGCUCUGUCACUAAAAUCCCCACGCCAGUUCCCAAACCUAUUCCCAUCAGUGAGAAUCCAAAUAUUCCACCAGUUUCUGUCCAGCCACCUGCUAGCAUUGUGCCUCCAAUUGGUGUCCCACCUUGCAGUCCUCCCAUGGUGAUGACAAACCGUGGGCCAGUUCCUCUGCCCAUAUUCAUGGAGCAGCAAAUUAUGCAGCAAAUCCGUCCACCAUUUAUCCGCGGGCCGCCUCACCAUGCCUCAAAUCCUAACAGCCCUCUGUCGAAUCCAAUGAUCCCUGGAAUCGGUCCGCCACCAGGUGGUCCCAGAAAUAUGGGCCCCACCUCUAGCCCCAUGCACAGGCCGAUGCUCUCCCCUCACAUCCACCCCCCCACAACCCCUACCAUGCCUGGGAAUCCUCCGGGCUUGCUGCCGCCUCCCCCUCCUGGAGCUCCUCUGCCCAGUCUUCCCUUUCCCCCCGUCAGCAUGAUGCCAAAUGGUCCUAUGCCUAUGCCACAGAUGAUGAACUUUGGACUGCCAUCCCUCGCCCCGCUGGUGCCACCCCCGACUCUACUAGUGCCAUAUCCUGUCAUCGUCCCUUUGCCCGUCCCCAUCCCCCUACCCAUCCCCAUCCCGCACAUCAACGACUCCAAACCCCCCAACGGUUUCUCCAGCAACGGCGAAAACUUCAUUCCGAGUACCUCCAGCGAGACGCCUGGGGCAAAGCCAGCCAACAGCUCCUCAUCCCCUCGAGAGUCGAAGCAAGGAUCGUCUAAAUCCUCCGACUCCUCACCGAGCUGCUCAGGCCAGUCCCUAAACCAAGCUCAAGUGCUUCAGGAGCACGGUAAAAAUGAAGUUGUUGACUUGACUGUCAGACCUAGUAGUCCCGUGAACAGUAAAUUUGGUUUCCCCAGCGUGCUGCAGGGCCCACAGGACGGUGUGAUAGACCUGACGGUAGGCCACCGGUCUAGGCUGCACAAUGUUAUCCACAGGGCUUUACACGCCCAAGUGAAAGUCGAGCGCGAGCCUAACAGUGUUGUAAAUUUGGCUUUCGGUAGCUCAGACAAAAGGAACUGCAGUGACUGCAGGGACAACUGCAGCCCAGUGGACUCAAAAACGCUACCGUGCGGUGACGCGGCUCACUGCUGCCCCGUCUCCUUGGCCUCUGGCACGCCGGGACUGGAAGCCGGAGCGGCGGUGUGCAACGUCAUCGUGAACGGCACCAAGAGCACCGAGGGUUCCAAGAACCCAGAGCCGCCCCAGGAGCCCAAAAAGCCCCAGCCCCCAGAGGAGCUGGCGGUGAGCGAGCUGGAGUCCGUAAAGGAGAACAACUGCGCGUCGAACUGCCACCUCGAGGGGGACGCUGGCAAGAAGAGCGGGGAGGAGCCCCUGGCCGGGGGAGACAAGCAGGACCCAAACCUCAACAAUCCAGCGGACGAGGACCAUGCGUACGCUUUGCGGAUGCUGCCCAAGACAGGUUGCGUGAUCCAGCCUGUGCCAAAACCAGCAGAAAAGACUGCUAUCGCACCGUGCAUUAUGUCAACGCCAAUACUCAGCACAGGGCCAGAGGAUCUGGAGCCACCAUUGAAAAGGAGGUGCCUCCGAAUUCGAAAUCAGAAUAAGUAAAGGAAUGCUCACCGACAGGGUACCUUGCAUGGAGAAAGGGAGCAGAGCAAACCACGUCACUCCACUGAACGACACCAGCUGGUCCGCUCACCAUCCCCUCUGGCUAAAAGUCAAGCAAAUAAAGCAGCUUCCCAUCACGAAGUCCCUCCGAGGAAGCCUCAGUCCCACGGGUGCCUUUGACCCAGAAGACAGCACAUCAUGGACCCACACAGUGUGCUCAGCAUUCCUGCGACCACCCCCUCUUCUCCUCCAAGGAACGCUUUCUCCUCUUGGUUUCUUGCUGCGGGGAUUUUUAACCCUGGUUUCAAAAACCACAUGGACCAACAUAGUUAUUCACUCCUCUACCUGCCUGGUCACAGAUCAAGCGAAAUUCACUCUGAAGUCUCAGAAACAUAUGCGCCAAAUCCAUCCCUUGCAUAAUGCCAACAAAACGAGUGGAAUUACACAAAGGAUGUGAGAAGGUCCCUUGCAAUUAACAGGAGCCCAGCAAAGGGAUGCAGAAUGUUGCUCACUCGCUGCUGACAUUAUUUAUUAUGGACUAAGACAUAAUAAUCGAGCCAAGCCUUUUCCUGGAGAACUUACCAUCAAGGAGCCAAAGAAAAUCCCAGUGCACGGGGAGAUACACGGGAAGGUUCCUGCCUGCAGCAGAAACGGCUCCAGCUAUUGCACACGUGCAGUUUUCAGACGCAGAGGCUGUGUUCAUGAGCAGAGGAGGCAGCUUUGCCUCAGGUCCCCAGCAGCCAGCCUUGUGUGCAUCCCCUCAUGCUGCCGGGCAGAGGGGGAGUUUGCUGCAAUCGAGCCACCCCGGUCCUUCUGCUGGCACUGAAUUUUUGCUGUCAGCAGGAGUCUUGCCCUUGCGAUAAGAGGGGGACUUCAUGCUGCAAACGCUCUGCAUUAAUCACCCCUGGUGUUGUCUUAGAUGGGUUUGAGGGCUUCGUUUUUUUUCAGAACUGCUCCACAAUUCAGUAUGUGGUUAGCCCAAUUCCAUGAAUAAGAAGGUCCCAUAAAAUGAAAGGAUUUAAUGCUUUUUCCGUGCUAAAUGAUGGAAAUAAAUUUGCUUUGUUCAAAUAAGCACCACAUGCCAAAUUUGCAAGGAUGCUUAUCCAAGUCCGAUAUCCCAUUCUGAGGUCCUUAUUUGGACACCCAAAUCAACACUCAGCCAAACACAUGCACGAGGCAUUUCAGUGCCAUUUGGAGUGUCCAUAUAUAGAACUGGAUGCCCUAACUUCAUUGCCUUUGUUUUAAAAAUAGGCCUGGAAUAUGUAAAGGCAUCAUUUAAUAACAACUAUGACAAACAUGCGGUGCUCGAACUCGGAACAAAUUUGCCUGUGCCGGUGGGGGCAGGUUGCUUCCCCUAGAGUGGCUCUGGAUUUACAGAGGUUUAUUUGAGAAAAGAGGCAGCCCUUGAACUGCUCUGCUUUCCACUCCCACCCCAACCUGACUCUAUGUUUGGGAUCUGGGAGGACAGGAAUGCGGAACUGGGGCAGCAUCCACGUGCUGAGAGUCAUGGGAGAGUCAGAAAUCGAGUUGAAUCUGCUCCACAUUAACUGCUCAGACGUCUUGAGAUGGGUAGAACAUCUUUGGGUUUGCACACAUUUUACCUGUCAUGUAUGUGGUACUGGGCAAAGAAAUGCCACGGGGCAUUGAGCACCCAUUUUCCACAAAGCGUAGGACAUACCAGGAAAACAAACACAGAGAGAGCUGUGAAAAAGCCAGCUGAAAACUGCUCCUGGCUGCUUUCCUUGCAGUGACGGUGGGAGCACGGCCCCUUGGACCUGCGGAUGCUUACUGCAGAGCGCUGCAGCGCCUCCGAGGGAGAUGGGGGUCUCUGACACAGGGAUGCUCCUCAGCCUUUUUUGGCCAAGUCAAGGCCUGUCAGGACUUCUACUUCAGUGACACUGUGAGAAACUGACCAAGCCACCAGGCAAAAAAGAGUAACUUAGACCGCUGAUAUUCUCUUUUCUUGAAGCUGUUCCCUGGUGUCUCUACCAUUACCUAUCAAGUGGAGGAGGUGAGUGUCCCAGCCACUUCACCUGCUGCUCUCCUCAAAUAGUUUUCCAAGAAGAUAUAAAUCUGAGAGAGAUGGAGCCAGGUGCACUGACCAGGACCUCUCCUUAUGAAUUAGGUAAGUAUGUAAAAGUUGCAUGUUCCUACCUGGGAUGCCCGUGCACAUGGCUUUCACGGGAGAAGGGGCAGCCUCACCCUGCUUCCUAUGGGGCCUGAUGGCAUGGCAUCCACAUGGCUUUGCUUUGCUUUGCUUUGAAAGACCUUGCUGGACCUAGUUAGGAAAAGGCUUGAGAAAGAAGCAAUGCUGUCUUCUUUUCUAGAAAACUUUGUGAUUAGACAGCUUGCUGGGGGACUGGGAGACUCAGGUCCUUUCCCAUUCUUCAGCUACAGGAAUCAAGCCCAUAC